GACGGAGGAUGCAAGUGUUAUCCGGAAUCACUGGGCGUAAAGCGUCUGUAGGUGGUUUAAAAAGUCCACUGUUAAAAAUUGAAGCUUAACUUCAAAGAUGCCGUGGAAACUUUUAAACUUGAGUAUGAUAGGGGUAGAGGGAAUUUCCAGUGGAGCGGUGAAAUGCGUAGAUAUUGGAAAGACCACCAAUGGCGAAGGCAGGUCUCUGGGCAUUAACUGACGCUGAGGAGCGAAAGCAUGGGGAGCGAACAGGA
rnacentral:rRNA from 1 species